ACACGUAAAAGGAGCUCAUUCGGAGGCAGGGGCACGCGCUUGUCCCCAGAACUCAAACCCCAGAGUCCCUCCGAUGAGAGUGGAGGUUGUAAAUCACCCUCCAUGCAAUGGUUCAUCAUAAAGGAUAUGGAGCAAAAUUAGAGGAGGCACGAGAAGGAAAGCCGGUGAUGAACAAGGAUUUGCCUCAACUACAGAGACAGCAUGGAACACGCCCUCCUAGGCUGCCCACAUCCUCAUCUGCAUGGGGGCACAGAAGCCUGGCCAUUCAUCCCAUGGGAGACUCAGGACAUGCUCCCAGCAACCUGAUGGGCUGCCCAAGGCUUGGCUGAUCCUGCAUCCCUGCAUCACAUCUCAGCUUCUCCCUCUGCCCAAAUCUACUUCCUCCCCAUUCCUUUCACAGGCAUUGAUUCCCUGAUAAACACCUUGCACCCCAUAUUCCAUCUCAGAGUCUCCUUGCAGAGAACCCAACCUGUGGCAGAGCUGGUCUCAGGACUCGGAGCGAGGGAGCAGGGAAAGAGGACAGGAAAGCAGGGAGAGUCAAUUUAAGGGUAUGUUGUCUGAGACAAAGAUUCUGCUAGGACCUCUGAGAUGGGUACAAGAUGCCUGGAGCCAUUCACUGGGCAGUAUCUGUCCAUCAGCUCCCAGGCCCCACAGAACCGGAGCUGCCUGUGAGGGCUUUCACUGCCCUGCAUUUCUGGGCUUCACAUAUGCACUGGCUGAGAGGGCUCCCUGUCUUCAAGGACGAUCCUGAGCAGAAAGUGGGUGCACUUGAGGUGGCAUGCUGUUGCGAGAGUCUGAGCUUUAUGAGAAGCAGACCCAGGGGGCAUGGUGUGGGGCAUCCCAAAGGACCUGCCAUACAUUAGGUGCCUUGGUCUUGGGGAGGAGCCCUCGGGAGUUCUGAGGGUGGGAGAAGAGGUAGGUGGGGUUAAUCCUUUCCCAUUCCCUCCCUGCCUCAGCACCAUGGCUCAGGCAGUAGCGCUGCCAGCUCCUCCUGGGAUCAGAGUUAUGGCCCUGCUCCCCUUGUCCCUUCAGGCUGAGGAACAUAAGGGCUUCCCAUGGUUGCUGGUGUCUGAGUGCCUCAACCUCCCUUGCUGGUUCCUUUCCCCUGCCCACACCUUUGUCAAUAGUUCCCCCCACUGAAGUCUCUUUGGUUGAGCAGUUGGUGGGGAUGCUGACUGAUAAAGUGGUCUAGGCCACUGCUCACUGCUUAAAGCCUUGCUUCAGAGAGACCUUCCAGGGCCCUGCAGCUCCCCCUUCUCCAACCCCUCCAACCCCUCCAACCUUUCUCUCUCCCAGCUGGUCUGGGUUCCCUACGGCAUCUACUUGCUUUUGAAUCUAUUUCUUAUAGAUACAUGUGUGUCCUCCUCUUUCACAGCCUUACCUUUUCAUAUGGAGGAAGAAAAAACCCAUUUCUAUAAAGCUAUUAAAUGUUUUCCUUUCACAAA
rnacentral:lncRNA from 1 species